rnacentral:rRNA from 1 species
GACGAACGCUGGCGGCGUGCUUAACACAUGCAAGUCGAACGGAAAGGCCCUGCUUUUGUGGGGUGCUCGAGUGGCGAACGGGUGAGUAACACGUGAGUAACCUGCCCUUGACUUUGGGAUAACUUCAGGAAACUGGGGCUAAUACCGGAUAGGAGCUCCUGCUGCAUGGUGGGGGUUGGAAAGUUUCGGCGGUUGGGGAUGGACUCGCGGCUUAUCAGCUUGGUGGUGGGGGAGUGGCUUACCAAGGCUUUGACGGGUAGCCGGCCUGAGGGGGUGACGGGCCACAGUGGGAGUGAGAUACGGCACAGACUCCUACGGGAGGCAGCAGUGGGGAAUAUUGCACAAGGGGCGGAAGCCUGAUGCAGCAACGCCGCGUGCGGGAUGACGGCCUUCGGGUUGUAAACCGCUUUCGCCUGUGACGAAGCGUGAGUGACGGUAAUGGGUAAAGAAGCACCGGCUAACUACGUGCCAGCCGCCGCCGUAAAAC